ensembl:misc_RNA Metazoa_SRP Metazoan signal recognition particle RNA
GCCGGGCAUGGUGGCACGUGCCUGUAAUCCCAGCUACUCAGGAGGCUGAGGCGGGAGAAUCGCUUGAACCCAGGAGGCAGAGUUUGCAGUGAGCUGAGAUCGUGCCACUGCACUCCAGCCUGGGUGACAGAGCAAGACUCCGUCUCAA